rnacentral:rRNA from 1 species
GAAAGCGCACACGGUGGAUGCCUUGGCAUCUGAAGGCGAAGAAGGACGUGCAAGCCUGCGAAAAGCACAGGGAAGCCGGCAAGGGGCGAUGCACCUGUGAUGUCCGAAUGGGGGAACCCGAUGCGGCGACGCAUCAUCAGAUGAAGAGUAAAGUAUUCAUCUGAGGCGAACCGGGAGAAGUGAAACAUCUCAGUAACCCGAGGAAAAGUAAUCAAAAGAGAUUGCGGGAGUAGCGGCGAGCGAAACUGCAAGAGCCCAAAAGUAAGUUUGAAUGAGCAGAACAGUCUGGGAAGGCUGACGGCACAGCGUGAGAGUCGCGUAUGCGGAAGUUCAGGCUUAUGAGCGAGAGUAGAGCGGGACACGUGGAAUCCUGUUUGAAGAUGGGGGGACCAUCCUCCAAGGCAAAAUACUAGCAGAUGACCGAUAGUGAACCAGUACCGUGAGGGAAAGGCGAAAAGAACCUCUGUAAGAGGAGUGAAAAGAAUCUGAAACCGUGUGCGUACAAGCAGUGGGAGCACCGCAAGGUGUGACUGCGUACCUUUUGUAUAAUGGGUCAGCGAGUUGCUUUCGACGGCGAGGUUAACCGAAUAGGGGAGCCGCAGGGAAACCGAGUAUCAACUGUGCGCAAGUCGCCGGGAGCAGACCCGAAACAUGAUGAGCUAGCCAUGGGCAGGAUGAAGGCGAGGUAACACUUGCUGGAGGGCCGAACCCACUAACGUUGCAAAGUUAGGGGAUGACCUGUGGCUAGGGGUGAAAGGCCAAUCAAAUCAUGUGAUAUCUGGUUCUCCCCGAAAGCUAUUUAGGUAGCGCCUCAUGUUCAUCCAGCGGGGGUAGAGCGCUGUUUCUGCGCGGGUUCUGUCAUGGAAUACCAAACGGAUGCAAACUGCGAAUACCGUUGGAUCAGUCAUGGGAGACAGACGGCGGGUGCUAACGUCCGUCGUCAAGAGGAAAACAAUCCGGACCGCCGGCUAAGGUCCCAAAGACAUGUUAAGUGGGAAACGAUGUGGGAAGGCACAGACAGCCAGGAUGUUGGCUUAGAAGCAGCCAUCAUUAAAAGAAAGCGUAAUAGCUCACUGGUCGAGUCGGCCUGCGCGGAAGAUGUAACGGGGCUAAACAUGUCACCGAAGCCGCGGGCGCCGGGCAACCGGCGCGGUAGGGGAGCGUUCCGCAAGCCGGAGAAGCCCGUGCGGGAGCACGGGUGGAGGCAGCGGAAGUGCGAAUGCUGACGCAAGUAACGAUAAUGCGGGUGAAAAACCCGCACGCCGACAGACCAAGGGUUCCUGUCCAACGUUAAUCGGGGCAGGGUGAGUCGGAUCCUAAGGCGAGGCUGAAAAGCGUAGUCGAUGGGAAACAGGUUAAUAUUCCUGUACUUUCCGCAGUUUCGAUGGAGUGACGGAGAAGGCUAGGUGCGCUGCCUGAUGGUGCGCAGUGAAAGGCUGUGGUCCGGUGAUGUGUCAAAUGCAUGUUGCCAAUGGAUGAGAGCUGAGAGGAGGCGGAGAAAUCCGCCGAAGGCACUGAGGCCAGGCUUCCGGGAAAAGCUUCUAAGGUCAGGCUGGGGAAAUCCGUACCGGAAACCGACACAGGUGGUCGGGUAGAGUAUACCAAGGCGCUUGAGAGAACUCGGGUGAAGGAACUAGGCAAAAUAGUACCGUAACUUAGGGAGAAGGUACGCUGAAGGGUGUGAAGUCCCUGCGGACGGAGCAUCAGUCAGCCGCAGAGAAGAGGCGGCUGGGACUGUUUAACAAAAACACAGCACACUGCCAACAUGGAAAUGGAAGUAUAGUGUGUGACACCUGCCCGGUGCCGGAAGGUUAAUUGAAGAUGUCAGCGCAAGCGAAGCAUCGGAUCGAAGCCCCGGUAAACGGCGGCCGUAACUAUAACGGUCCUAAGGUAGCGAAAUUCCUUGUCGGGUAAGUUCCGACCUGCACGAAUGGUGUAACCAUGGCCGCGCUGUCUCCACCCGAGACUCAGUGAAACCGAAAUCGCUGUGAAGAUGCAGUGUACCCGCGGCUAGACGGAAAGACCCCGUGAACCUUUACUACAGCUUGACACUGAACAUUGAGCCUGCCUGUGUAGGAUAGGUGGGAGGCAGUGAGGUGCAUGCGCCAGUGUGCACGGAGCCGAUGGUGAAAUACCACUCUGGCAGCCUUGAUGUUCUAACCACAGCUCCGCAACGGGGCGUGGGACAGUGUCUGGCGGGUAGUUUGACUGGGGCGGUCUCCUCCCAAAGCGUAACGGAGGAGCACGAAGGUCAGCUAAUCACGGUCGGACAUCGUGAGGAUAGUGCAAUGGCAUAAGCUGGCUUGACUGCGAGACUCACAAGUCGGGCAGAUGCGAAAGCAGGUCAUAGUGAUCCGGUGGUUCUGUAUGGAAGGGCCAUCGCUCAACGGAUAAAAGGUACUCUGGGGAUAACAGGCUGAUACCGCCCAAGAGUUCAUAUCGACGGCGGUGUUUGGCACCUCGAUGUCGGCUCAUCACAUCCUGGGGCUGCAGUAGGUCCCAAGGGUAUGGCUGUUCGCCAUUUAAAGUGGUACGCGAGCUGGGUUCAAAACGUCGUGAGACAGUUUGGUCCCUAUCUGCCGCGGGCGUUGGAUGAUUGAAGGGAGUUGCUCCUAGUACGAGAGGACCGGAGUGAACGAACCUCUGGUGUACGGGUUGUCAUGCCAAUGGCACUGCCCGGUAGCCACGUCCGGAACUGAUAACCGCUGAAAGCAUCUAAGCGGGAAGCAGACCCUGAGAUUAGUCAUCCCUGCGACUUUAAGUCGCCUCAAGGCUCGUUCGAGACCAGGACGUUGAUAGGUCAGGUGUGGAAGUCCGGUGACGGAUGAAGCUUACUGAUACUAAUUUGCCGUGCGUCUUAACC